CAAAAAUGUGGGGGCAGGACAGACAUGAACCAGAGUGAUGGCUGUGAGCACUGGAUGUGGCUCAGCCUCGGCCACCCACCUGCCAUGAGCCCGGACCGUCUCCAGGGGCGAGGUCUGUGCCCACUGCCACCAGCCGACCCCUUCUGGGGGGCACUGGGCUGCGGCUCACCCCCGGCCUAAAACCCCAGCCCAGCCAUCCUCCUCCUUGAGGCACGAUCUGUGCCAGCACUGCCAGACCCUGGGGCCGGUGGGCAGCAGCCAGGAGUGGGGCACUGGGGGCACCCUCAUCCCCUCCCCAGACACAGCACCGGGCACGGGGCACUGCCCGGUCCCCAACGUGCUCCAGGCUGGGUCUCACACAAGGCUCCAUUCAUCCCGGACUGGGCAAUUAGAGGGGGAAGGGGCCAAUGCUGUCACCUAACACGGGUACAAGUUAUCCCUGCUCUUGUGUAACCUGUUGCAUAAAGUGGGGGCGGGCAGGGGGUGCCGCCAGCGGCAGGGGCUAUAAAGGUGGGUGUGGGAAGGUGCAGGUCCAUGAAGCCUCUCCUGCCCGUGUCCAGCCUCCGGACCAAGGAUGACAGUGGUGCUGCCCUGCCUGGUGCUGGCCCUGCUCUGCCUGCUGCGGGCAGGGGCCGAGGUCCCCGUGCAGCCAGAUUUCACCGCCGAGAAGUUUGCAGGGAUGUGGCAUGUUGCAGCCGCAGCUUCCAACUGCUCCGUGUUUCUGAAGAUGAAGGAUGGGAUGAAGUCGUCCAUCGCCACCAUCAGCUUCACACCAGCAGGGGAGCUGUCUAUGAAGCUUGUCUGGCCGCUGGUGGACGGAUGCCAAAAGUUUGAGCUGCUCUUCCAGCAAAGUGGGCAGUCAGGGCACUACGUGGCAGCACAAGAGAGGAAGGACCUGCGUGUGAUGGAGACGGACUACAGCCACUAUGCCAUUGUGCAUGAGCUCCAGCAGAAGGGGCAGGAGACCAACACCGGGCUGCAGCUCCUCAGUGGGUGUCGGAGUGGGAACGGGCACCCAUGGCUUCCCAGGGAGGGACACGGGCACUGUCGAGGGGCAGGGGCUGGGCUCCCCACUGCUGCCCAGGGCCACCAACAUCAGCACCCAAUGUGCUGGCACUCAGGGAAUUAAUUUUGGGUUGAAUGAAACCUUGCACCAAAAAUAUCCCCGGUUGAUUGCGGUUUGACCCGAAGCCCCCUGCAGCAUGCUAGUCCAGCUGCAGACCCCCAGCCCUGCCAGCCGCCCCGUACCACCCCAGGCAGGUAGGUUGCUCAUCCCAAGGGGCCUGUGACCCUUUGCCACCAGCCGAGGGCAGCUGUAGGGUGCCUGGUGUCCACCCUGCACCUCCAUGGCUUCACCUUUGCCCUUCCCUGGGGUCCCAUCUCUGCCCCACGGGAGCCAGACCCCUGGCGUGGGGCUCGCUGCUGGGUCCCCCCCACUCACCAGCCCCUGCUUUGGGUGUCUGGCUGCAGUGAGGGAGCAGGACGCGAGCCCCCAGCUCCUGCAGAAGUUCAAAGAGCUCAUCCCCACUGUGGGCCUGACCAAGGACAUGCUGGUCAUCCUGCCCAAGUCAGAUCAGUGCACCGAGGCCAUCAGGUGAGCGUGGUGGCGGAAGCCGG